rnacentral:antisense_RNA from 1 species
CUUCAGCGAGCCCAGCCACAACGGCCGGUCCACGGCGCGUCCUUGCCCGUAGGUCGCGAGCAGGGCCUGGGCCUC